ACACCGUUGGUGAAGUGGUUAUCAUGCUUGCCUUCCAUCAUGGAUGAUACGAUAUCUAUACCAGAGCAAGCGGCUCGGGUUCGAUUCCCGAACGGUGUA